rnacentral:snoRNA from 1 species
UUCUUCUUUGAUACGAAUGCCUUCUAUUCACUGCACCAUUUAUAUCAAUGAAUGAAGUGGAGGGGAAAAGAAUGCUAGAGUAAGUUAUCGAAGAACUUCCUCAUACUGAGUUUACUUAUUUAUUUUUUUUAAAAAUUAUAAAAUAGCAUUCUUGGAUUCUGGUUGUUCGAUACAUUU